UCUGUAGAAAGUUGUAGCUGUGUUUGCCAGAUUAUCAUUAUCUGUAGAAAGUUGUAGUUCUGUCUACAGAAGACUGUCUUGAGAUGACUAUGCAGAGUUACUUUUUCUUCCUCAAAAAACUAGUUAUAGCCAUGUGAAAAUAUAUAUAAGUGUGUGAAAAAAUGGCGUGACAUGGCAUAAAAUGAUUAUAUACCUAAUAGGUAUCGAGUAGA
rnacentral:lncRNA from 1 species